rnacentral:rRNA from 1 species
ACAUCCAGAGAACUUAGCAGAGAUGCUUUGGUGCCUUCGGGAACUCUGAGACAGGUGCUGCAUGGCUGUCGUCAGCUCGUGUUGUGAAAUGUUGGGUUAAGUCCCGNAACGAGCGCAACCCCUAUCCUUUGUUGCCAGCGAUUCGGUCGGGAACUCAAAGGAGACUGCCGGUGAUAAACCGGAGGAAGGUGGGGAUGACGUCAAGUCAUCAUGGCCCUUACGAGUAGGGCUACACACGUGCUACAAUGGCGCAUACAAAGAGAAGCGACCUCGCGAGAGCAAGCGGACCUCAUAAAGUGCGUCGUAGUCCGGAUUGGAGUCUGCAACUCGACUCCAUGAAGUCGGAAUCGCUAGUAAUCGUAGAUCAGAAUGCUACGGUGAAUACGUUCCCGGGCCUUGUACACACCGCCCGUCACACCAUGGGAGUGGGUUGCAAAAGAAGUAGAUAGCCUAACCUUCGGGAGGGCGUUUACCACUUUGUGAUUCAUGACUGGGGUGAAGUCGUAACAAGGUAAGCGUACGUGU